rfam:Mus musculus chromosome 2, GRC primary reference assembly.
GGUGUGAGGGCUACCUGGCUUUGACAUCUGUCACCACAUUGAUCAUCAGGGUUGGUUUGCCUUAUCUGGCUUGUGUCCCCUUCCUCCUUCACUGUACCAUGCCUCUCCCAAUGCUGUGAUUUUUCAGAAGCCUUCUUCAAUAAAGGAAGACUGAGUUUUGGCAGCCAUAUUUCUCUUUUGAAAUCUCCAAACCAGUUCUCAGUAAUUUUAAAUGAAACACCAGUAGAUGGCCAUGUACCCAUAUUUUAUUGUUGAUCACAUUCAUCCCUGGAAGACUUUU